UACGUAGGUGACCAGCGUUGUCCGGAUUUACUGGGCGUAAAGAGCGCGCAGGCGGUCGUUCAAGUCGAGUGUGAAAGCCCCCCGGCUCAACUGGGGAGGGUCAUUCGAUACUGAUCGACUGGAAGGCAGGAGAGGGAAGCGGAAUUCCCGGUGUAGUGGUGAAAUGCGUAGAUAUCGGGAGGAACACCAGUGGCGAAGGCGGCUUCCUGGCCUGUUCUUGACGCUGAGGCGCGAAAGCUAGGGGAGCAAACGGG
rnacentral:rRNA from 1 species